GUGCCAGCCGCCGCGGUAAUACGGAGGGGGCUAGCGUUGUUCGGAAUUACUGGGCGUAAAGCGCACGUAGGCGGCUUUGCAAGUCAGAGGUGAAAGCCCGGGGCUCAACCCCGGAAUUGCCUUUGAGACUGCAUCGCUAGAACGUCGGAGAGGUGAGUGGAAUUCCGAGUGUAGAGGUGAAAUUCGUAGAUAUUCGGAAGAACACCAGUGGCGAAGGCGACUCACUGGACGACCGUUGACGCUGAGGUGCGAAAGCGUGGGGAGCAAACAGGAUUAGAUACCCGAGUAGUCC
rnacentral:rRNA from 1 species